rnacentral:rRNA from 1 species
UGGAUCCAGACUUUGAUCAUGGCUCAGGAUGAACGCUGGCGGCGUGCCUAACACAUGCAAGUCGAACGGGGACAGGAUGAAACCUAGUGAUUCCUGUCUUAGUGGCGGACGGGUGAGUAACGCGUGGGUAACCUGCCUUGUACUGGGGGAUAACACCUGGAAACAGGUGCUAAUACCGCAUAAGCGCACAGUCUCGCAUGGGACGGUGUGAAAAACUCCGGUGGUACAAGAUGGACCCGCGUCUGAUUAGCCAGUUGGGGGGGUAACGGCCCACCAAAGCGACGAUCAGUAGCCGGCCUGAGAGGGUGAACGGCCACAUUGGGACUGAGACACGGCCCAAACUCCUACGGGAGGCAGCAGUGGGGAAUAUUGCACAAUGGGGGGAACCCUGAUGCAGCAACGCCGCGUGAGUGAAGAAGUGAUUCGUUAUGUAAAGCUCUAUCAGCAGGGAAGAGAAUGACGGUACCUGAGUAAGCAGCCCCGGCUAACUACGUGCCAGCAGCCGCGGUAAUACGUAGGGGGCAAGCGUUAUCCGGAUUUACUGGGUGUAAAGGGAGCGUAGACGGCCACGCAAGUCUGAAGUGAAAUGCCAGUGCUCAACACUGGAACUGCUUUGGAAACUGUGAGGCUGGAGUGCAGGAGAGGUAAGUGGAAUUCCUAGUGUAGCGGUGAAAUGCGUAGAUAUUAGGAGGAACACCAGUGGCGAAGGCGGCUUACUGGACUGUAACUGACGUUGAGGCUCGAAGGCGUGGGGAGCAAACAGGAUUAGAUACCCUGGUAGUCCACGCGGUAAACGAUGAUUACUAGGUGUCGGGGGGUUAUAACCCUUCGGUGCCGCCGCAAACGCAAUAAGUAAUCCACCUGGGGAGUACGAUCGCAAGGUUGCAACUCAAAGGAAUUGACGGA